rnacentral:rRNA from 2 species
GGAUAACUCCGGGAAACCGGGGCUAAUACCGGAUAACAUCUAGCACCUCCUGGUGCCGGAUUAAAAGAGGGCUUCUUGCUCUCACGAUGAGAUGGGCCCGCGGCGCAUUAGCUAGUUGGAGAGGUAACGGCUCCCCAAGGCGACGAUGCGUAGCCGACCUGAGAGGGUGAUCGGCCACACUGGGACUGAGACACGGCCCAGACUCCUACGGGAGGCAGCAGUAGGGAAUCUUCCGCAAUGGACGAAAGUCUGACGGAGCAACGCCGCGUGAGUGAUGAAGGGUUUCGGCUCGUAAAGCUCUGUUAUGAGGGAAGAACACGUACCGUUCGAAUAGGGCGGUACCUUGACGGUACCUCAUCAGAAAGCCACGGCUAACUACGUGCCAGCAGCCGCGGUAAUACGUAGGUGGCAAGCGUUGUCCGGAAUUAUUGGGCGUAAAGCGCGCGCAGGCGGCCUUUUAAGUCUGAUGUGAAAUCUUGCGGCUCAACCGCAAGCGGCCAUUGGAAACUGGGAGGCUUGAGUACAGAAGAGGAGAGUGGAAUUCCACGUGUAGCGGUGAAAUGCGUAGAUAUGUGGAGGAACACCAGUGGCGAAGGCGACUCUCUGGUCUGUAACUGACGCUGAGGCGCGAAAGCGUGGGGAGCAAACAGGAUUAGAUACCCUGGUAGUCCACGCCGUAAACGAUGAGUGCUAGGUGUUAGGGGUUUCGAUGCCCGUAGUGCAGGCUUGAGUACAGAAGAGGAGAGUGGAAUUCCACGUGUAGCGGUGAAAUGCGUAGAUAUGUGGAGGAACACCAGUGGCGAAGGCGACUCUCUGGUCUGUAACUGACGCUGAGGCGCGAAAGCGUGGGGAGCAAACAGGAUUAGAUACCCUGGUAGUCCACGCCGUAAACGAUGAGUGCUAGGUGUUAGGGGUUUCGAUGCCCGUAGUGCCGAAGUUAACACAUUAAGCACUCCGCCUGGGGAGUACGGCCGCAAGGCUGAAACUCAAAGGAAUUGACGGGGGCCCGCACAAGCAGUGGAGCAUGUGGUUUAAUUCGAAGCAACGCGAAGAACCUUACCAGGUCUUGACAUCCUUUGACCACUCUGGAGACAGAGCUUCCCCUUCGGGGGCAAAGUGACAGGUGGUGCAUGGUUGUCGUCAGCUCGUGUCGUGAGAUGUUGGGUUAAGUCCCGCAACGAGCGCAACCCUUGACCUUAGUUGCCAGCAUUUAGUUGGGCACUCUAAGGUGACUGCCGGUGACAAACCGGAGGAAGGUGGGGAUGACGUCAAAUCAUCAUGCCCCUUAUGACCUGGGCUACACACGUGCUACAAUGGAUGGUACAAAGGGUUGCGAAGCCGCGAGGUGAAGCCAAUCCCAUAAAGCCAUUCUCAGUUCGGAUUGUAGGCUGCAACUCGCCUGCAUGAAGCUGGAAUUGCUAGUAAUCGCGGAUCAGCAUGCCGCGGU